GUGACCAGGACACUGGCCUCGAUGUCACACCCCGCAAGGGGUGUGACAUCGAGGCUCCAAUUUGGAGU
rnacentral:misc_RNA from 1 species